CGAGAAAUGGAGUCCAGGAGGGGGCGGGCGUCAUGAGGCCGCCAGGGCAGGUCUGGCCUCUACCGCCACCCUCACUCCCACCUCCAUUCCGGUACCCGCAGCUGGCCUCCGGCUGUGGGCCGGAUAAAGUGGGGGUUACCCUGGGGACGUACUGUUGGAGAAAUACGGUACGGUGUUUCUGCCUAGCGAUCACGGUUACCCUCGGGAAAGUGCAUGCUCGCUGCGCUGCCUCGGAGCCUCCCAGCCUCCAGGAAGGCCUAGGGCGUCUGACCCCUGACUCGAAUCAGUGACACCCCCAGGCCUGGGCCACCUUCCUGAGGACCGACCUGUGCUUCACUCUCAGGCUGCUGUGGUCCGCAGCAGUCCCGGGACGCUUUGGCACUCCGCGCGGAGGUGGGAAGAGCAAGGCCCAGAGGAACUUGCCCAAGAGGUGGCAGUGAGCCGACGGUGCCACGCACCCUGCUAACUCCCUUUAACUCACACUCCUGUUGGAUCCUCAGCCUACAGAUGAAGACAUGGACUGUGAGGGGCCACGGGUCCUCCCCGGGUGACUCGGCUGGUAAGGAGAGAGGAGGGGGUGAGGCAGAGCCUGUCCGCCUGCCCCCGGAGGGCAUUUUCCGGGCAACACAGGGACACGUGGGCAGAGCUCCUUCUAAGGAGUUGACAUCCUUUCCCUUCCUGGCCUGGGAGAUAGAGAGCAUUCCCUCCACUUUUCUCCCAGUGUAUUGCCAGAGCAGUGUACUCAUAGCCAGGACCUUUCCCUGCUCUCUGGAAUGCUGUGGGUCUGGGCUCCUAAGUCCAGGCUGGUGCUUGCCCCUGGGUCAUGUGGUCCUCCCUGUAUACCCAGCUGGGGCCAGGGAUGUGGCUCCUGCUGCCACCAGGAGCCAAACCCAGCUGGGGGUGGCAGGGGCUGGGGGGGGGGACAGGUUAGGGGACACUGGUGUUAAAGGUGAAAUACAUCCAUAGCAGCUUCAGCACGUAGGUGGUCAGAAACUGAAAAGCAGAAAAGGAUAAAUACUGUGUGACUUCACUUCUCUGUGAAAUUUUAAAAACUAAAAACAAACAAAAAAACUCAUAGAAAAAGAGAUCAGACUUGUGGUCCCAGAGGCAGAGGGUCAGGGGAGAAGGAUUUGGAGAAGGGGGAUCAAAAGGUACAAACUUUCAGGUGUAAGAGAACUAAGUCCCAGGAAGUCAUGUGCAACAUGAUGCACUGUGCUGCUGUGUGAUAUACAGGAAAGUGAUUAAGAGAGUGGGUCCCAAGAGUUCUUACCAGAAGGAAAAUUUUUUUUCCUUUUUUUUUGUCUCCUUUUUAUUAUAUCUAUAUGAGAUGAUGGCUGCUAACUAAAACUACAGUAAUUAUUUCACAAAAUAGGUGUCGAACUGUUAUGUUGUACAUACUAAACUCAUACAAUACUACAUGUCAAUUAUGUCUCAAUAAAACUGGGGGGAGGGGAAGAAACUGAAGGACAGCCAAGGUGCUCCUGUUACAACCUGAGUCAGAUCAUGUCUCUCAUUGGCUCAGAACAUUCCAGGGGUUCCCAGCAUCACAGCCUGCAAUGCCCUACAGGAUCGCCUCCCCCCCAAAAUUAGAUCCCUGACCUUACACUCUACUCCUUUCCCCUUGCUCACAUCAUUCCAGCCACACUGGCCUCCUUGCAGUUCCCCAGACAUACCAGGCACAGUCCUACCUCAGAGCCCUUGCAUGUGCUCUUCCCACUGCCUGUACAAGCUCUUUCCACACAAAUGACAUGGUUCUCUCGCCUCCUUCAGGGUUUUCUCCGCAUGUUAUCUUCUCAGGGAGGCCUGCCUUAACCACCCAGUCUAAAAUGUUAACACUCUCCCUGGGGCGCCUGGGUGGCUCACUCAGUUGGGGGGCCGACUUUGGCUCAGGUCAUGAUUUCACGGUCCGUGAGUCUGUGAGUUUGAGCCCUGAGUCGGGCUCUGCGCUGACAGCUGGGAGCCUGGAGCCUGCUUCGGAUUCUGUGUCUCCCUGUCUCUCUGCACCUCCCCCACUUGCACUCUGUCUCUCUCUCUCUCUCUCUCUCUCUCUCUCUCUCUUAAUGUUAACACUCUCCCUAGUAUUUCCUAUUCCCCUAUCCUGUUUAACUUUUUAAUUGGCACUAGUUCCCUGCUAAUGUAUUAUAUAUUUUAUAUUUUAUUUGUUUUUGUCUCCUCUAAUAGAAUGUAAGCGCCACCAAAGCAGUGAUUUCUCUCCACCUGUUCCCUUCAUAUUUCUAGCAUCAGGCACAUAGUAAGUGCUCAGUUGUUGAAUUAAUGAAUUUCUGACUUAAAGCAAAAAGGUCGGCUUGAGAGGAAUUCAACAGGGCUGAGGGACCUACCCCAAAUGAGUUAAGGAGUUGGCCACUGGAGAAAUUAGAACGGUUUUCCCCAAAGAGACCCAGAGCACCCUCAAGCUAGUUUCCAAGGACUGCCUUUGUACAGGGUGCCUUCUCUCUGCUUCAGUCUCCUCCUCCCUCCAGCACCCACCUUGGCCUGGUGAACUGUAUUCAUCCUUCAGCCAUCAGCUCAAACUUACCUUUCUUGGGGACAUAGUCCCGUAAAAACCUCUCCCACCUCCAGGCAAGACCAGGUCUCACAUGCCUAUCCUUUGCGGCACUGUGCCCGGCAUGUAGUAGGGCCUCAGUAAACUUUUGUUGAGAAAAUAAAUAAAUGAAUGAGUGAAUGUGGGGACACUGGCAGCCUAAGUAGCUGAAUGUCCACCUGAGCAGUUAGGUAUGGCUGUAUCUAAGGAGAAAAACUCUCCCCAUAUUGUGGGGAGACUCUGUUAGAAGAAAAAGAAACCAGGUAGUGGUUUUCCAAACAGAUGACAAAGAGAAAGAAAUAUUUCUCUUCAUAGCAAUGAAAACCCCCAAUGUUCCCACGCAAUUAAUUCCUUCCCUACUUGUACAUCAUCUCCCACAGAAAAGGACCCGAGUCCCUGGUGCCUGUCCAGCCCUGAACGGUUGCAAAGACCCCAGGGACAGAAAUGGGGCUCACCUCUAGGGCAGGGGCUCCAGCUUUCCCUGUUUCGAGGACACAGGCACAGCUCCGGGAGACAGAGGGCUCCUCAGCUUCCCUCCUCCCCAUCUCUGCCAUAAAUGGUGGUCUCUCUGGCAUCUGCUAGAAUUCCAGACUGGGAGGCAGCCUGGGUCUCGGCCCGACGGGACUGUGUUUAUGGCAGCCUGGCCUCUGGUCCUGGUAGAGUCCGUCCAAGUUACUUUGCCCAUCAGAGCCUCAGCUUCCUCAUCUAUAAAAUGGGUGCCAGGACCCCUGACUUCAUUACCUCCCAGGGUUGUUGGAGGAGCCAAAACAGUGAUAGAUGGGAAAAGGCAUUGGAAAGGUCCAGAGACUGAGGACAGGCGGUUAGCAGCACUGGGCAAUGCUGGGGAAUGGGAAGCCUGGCACACAGCACCCCCCCCAGGGGGCAGCUGGAUAAUGGCAGUAAAUGAGCUCUAACAGGGCAGCAAGGAGCCCCUCCUGGGGAGGAGGGAGCAACUUUGCUGAGAAGCGUAUGUCCAGGCCCCCUUGGAGAGGAGGCAGUCCAGGACGUGCUCUGGAAUGCCGGAAAAUACAAGAAAGCCUAUGAAACAGUGGCCACACUGUGGAUGGAACCAAAGGUGUAGAUUCUCUGUCCCCUUGCAGGUGCAAGCCCAAGCCACUUGGACUGACAUCCAAGCCAUUUGUUUGAAUAAUUCUUUUCUUUUUUGAAGUUUAUUUAUUUAUUUUGAGAGAGAGAAAGAGAGAGCACACAGGCAGAGAGUCCCAAGCAGGCUCCACACCAUCAACGCAGAGCCUGACGCAGGGCUCGAUCUCAGAAACUGAGAUCACCACCUGAGCUGAAAUCAAGAGUCAGGCACUUAACCGACUGAGCCCCCCGGGCACCCCUUGAGCCUCUUAAAAGUAACGCCUGCACAUUGUUUUAGUGUUGAAGCACCGCAGAAAGGCAUGAAAUGAAGAGUAAAAUUGCACUCGGCCUCAGUUCCACUCAGCAUUUCUGUUUCCAUGUGACCUAAUUGUACAUACUAUGCUUGUCUCUUUUGUGUCUACAAAGGAAGCGAAUGAUGCCCCUUUCUGUGUGCUGCACAUUCUGUGUUUGCCCCUCCAGAUCUCUCUCUGCCCUUCUGCCCCUGCUCUGUGCCCCCAGAGGCUUAUCUGCACAGACCAUGAACGGGGGCCCUUUGGUUUCCGAGAGGGUUUGGCCAGUGGGAGGCACUGGUGACAGGUGAGGAUGGGAGGAACGUGACGUUGCAUUUGUCCCCUGUGGGUCACUGUCAGCUGGCUGUGUCUCUCCAGUGGGCGUGGCUCCUCUCAGGGAGCCUGGCAGAGCUUGAAGCCCCCCCUCUCCUAACCUUUGCCCAGAAAGCCUCUGCCUCCCACCGCGCCCCCAUCCUCGCCCAAAGUCUCUCUUCCACAGGCCCGUCUGGGGGCAACCCUCCUGGCUGGGUAUCUCCAGUUUUCGGGUUAAUAAUAUGGAGGCGCACGCAUCGCACUUCAAAGAUGCUCACUUUGUUGUGUGUUCACGGCACCCCAGAGGCCGGCAUCACAGAUGAGGAAAUGAUGCUCAGAGGGGGCGCCUGUUCUCAGGGGCCAAUGACGCGGUCAUGGCAGGGUCCGCACACACUUGCCCCCUCGGGCCCGUGCAGCCCUGUCCUGGCGGGCUCCCGAGGCCUGGCUGAGGGGCUGGGCCCACCGCAGGGCCCGGGACACCCACAGCCAGAUGGCUUGGAUGAGACAUGAGGCCUGGCAGGGCCUGUCCCGAACAUGCUUGGUGGGCCUCGCCAGUUCUGCCGUUCUGCUCCCCGGCAGGAGCCCUGUGUGUGGUCCCAUAAACCGCGUCCAUGAGGCAUGGGAUGUCUGCGGCCCUGGCCUUCCCCCCAGCCCCCAGCUCCAAAUCCUCCCCAGACAUCUCCCCUUGACAGCUCGCAGACGUCACCAGGCGUCCCAAGGAAAACCCCUUAGGCCUGCCCCUCUGCCCCAGGGUACUAGUAAGCCCAGGCUGCUGUGACAAGUAACACGGACCAGGCAGCUCAGACAACAUGCAUGAUUUCCGCACGGUUCUGGAGGCCAGAAGUCUGAGAUCAAGAUGAAGCAAUCCUGCUUCCUUCUGUGGAUGGUGGCCUUCUCCGACUCUUCACGUGGGCCAGGCCCUAACCUCCUCUUCUUAUUAACACCUGUCAGGUGAGAUGCGUGGGCACCCCAAUGACCUCAUUUUACCUCAAUUGCCUCUGUAAAGACUGUGUCUCCCAAUACAGUACAUAUUCUGAGGUACUGAGGAUUUCAACGUACGAAUUGGGGGGGAUAUAGUAACAUCAUAACCCCCCAGGGUGCCCCCAUCCCGGCACCCCCCUCACCCAGUGCUUCAUCCAGCAAUUCCCACCUAGUCAUGUGUGGGGGCAGCAGGAUGGCCAUGCUGCGGGGGGACGCAGGUGGCCAGGCAGAGCAGUCUCCUGCCUCAGAGCCCACACUGGCUCCCCAUGGUCACAGUAAAAGGUCGGCGCCCUAACUUCCCCGGGCAUCCAUGGCUCUGAGUGACGCGCCUCCUGCCCCACUUGUCCCACCCAAGGACAGCAAGGACUCUGCACUGACCUGCCUGGGCUCACAUCAUGCUCCUGCCACCCCCGAGCCGCAUAACUCUAGGAACGUUGUUUCCCUUUGUGGGCCACCAUACCUACGAUGCGGGGACAGCAGCAAUCGUGCCUCGGCCAUGCAGGUGUCCUGCUCAGUCUCUCUUAAAGGGCUGCCACACGGAGCACUGCUGAGUGACCGCCUCCAGCAGCAGCCCCACCUGGGGAUCUGGCCGAGCUUCACCCAGAAGCCAGGAUGUUAGGCACUGGAGCCGCCGCUCCUGCCUUACCCCCGCUUCCCCACAGGCAGGCUGACCCCUGGGGCUUUCCACCGAGUGUGGCCCAGUUGUCUCCCGGCUGCACUGCAGCCCGAGGCUCUCCCUCCUCAUCCUCCCUCCUCCCUUCUCCUUUCACGGGUGCCAGCCCCACACCCAGAUCCAGGUCUCUCCCUGCCAGUUCCUGCUCCUACUUCCUUCCCCUCAUCCUCCACAGGCACUGCCCCACGAGCCUCUUGCACAUCUAACCCCUUCUUGGCAUCUGUUCUCUGAAGAUGAGAACUGGCCCGGGUAGCUGUCUCAUAGGUUGUUCAAGGGUUAAACGCAUUAACACACACAGAAACCUUAGAAAGGUGCCUGGAACAGAGUAGGUAUCUGAGUCCCAACACCACGUAGCUCCUUUCUAAGGGCCAUUCUUGGGGACUGUAUCUGCCCUGUCCAUAGAUUUCUGCGUAUUCUUUUGUGGACCAGGCCUUCUUAAGUUUCCGAAGUGUGCUAUGCUUCCUGUGAUCACAGGGCCUUUGCACCCACCACUGCCUUUGUUCCUUUACUGUGAGCCCUCUUACCCCUCUUUCCUGUUAGCUCAGAUGUCACUUCCUCAGGGAAGCCUACCUGACCUCCUUUAUAUGUUUUCCCUACACUAUGUGCCUCUCCUUCAAAGAAUUUUUCAAGGUUUAUCCAUUUAUGUGUGUUCAUUUCUUUCACGCUUGUAUCUCUGGGGCAAAGAUUGCCAGUCCUCAGAUCCCUAUCCAUCCCUUCCCAGAACUCCCAGUUUUCAGCAGAGCACAGUAUUGCCCCAAAGAAAGCUUGCAUUCCUCAGCCUUUCUUGCAGCUAGCCAAUGGGAUGUACACAGAAGUGAUGGCUGUCCCUUCUGAGUUCCCCUGGGAAGAGAAGGGGUGUGCCUCCUUCCAUGUUCCCUCCUCCUCCCUGCUGGCUGGAAUGCGGGCAGAGUAGGCCAAUGCUGUCUGCUGGAGGGAUGGACAAGGUAGAAGGAAUACAGACCCAAACAGCCUCAGAGUGCACUGCCUCACCAGCGUGGGAUUUCAAGGAGAGAAAACUCAAAGUGUAGCUUGUUUAAGCCAACACUACUUUGAGUCUCUGUUAACGGCAGAGAUUUGGCUACCUGUAGAACAGGAAGCUCUGUGAAGCCAGGGAACAGGUCCACCUUGGUCAUCACCAUGUGCUCCCGGCACCUAGAAGGUCCUUGAUUAUUGUAUGAUGAAUGAGUGAAUGAGUUCUUUGGGGCUGGACCCUUUCUCAGCCAUUUCGGGGACCGCCGCAGUGCCCAGCUCAUGGAGUGAAGUUGUAUAGAAAUCUAGAGCAGCACUAUUCGCUAGAACCUUCUGUGAGGCAGGAAAUGCUCCAUGUAUGCCUGCUGUCCAGUAAGGUACCGCAUGCAGCUGGUGGCCACCACGCUGGACAGUGCACACCAGGCUAGGAGGGAGUGUUGAGAUGCAGCCCCUCCCCUAAUGCAGGAGCUGCCAGCCUGCUGAAAUCAGGUAGACACUUGUCCCAACGCUGACACACGAGCCAGGCCACCAGGCGGAGGAGGCCUUCGAGCCCCUGCUCCUGGCCCCCUCAGUGAGGGUCACACUGAGGACUCACGUCAUGGAGGCAGCACGGCCAAUCACAGCGGCCAGCCCUCCCUAGUCAUCCAAUUCCUGCUGACACCUACCACCACCGGCGAGGGCAGGAAGCCCAGAUCUGCCUCAUGGUAAGGGGUACCAAGCAGCCUCACCAGUCCCAGGCUGCCGGAGAGGGCAGCGGAGAAAGAGGGUGGACUUACCAUGUGCCGGGUCUAUGCUGGACCCUUCACAGCCACGCACUCUGAGACAGGUGGAGGAGGGCGGGGUCUGCGGCGUGCCAGGCCCGGCGCUGUGACACAGGGGGCAGCGCUCACAUCUUGACUCUUCUCGUUUUACAGAAAAGAAAGUUGAGGCCAGAGAGGUGGGCAAUUUACCCAAGGUCACACAGCAAAUGCACUGGCAAAGACAAAAAGAGAACUGAGAUCUAUCUCGCUCCAGAGACUUCUCUUCUCCCAUCCCAGGCUGUGGAGCUUGGCCCCAGGACAGCGUCCCCACUGUCGCUUCACCCUGCCGCUCCUCCCAGGCCACCUGUACCCUUCCCUGCCACUCAGGAUCUCCCUGUCAGGGGUCAGGAUGGAGCCAGAAUGGCUGGAUGCAGCAGAGGCGGACCCCCACCUCAGACCUCACACCAGCCUGCAGUCCUGGGACCAGCAGUCCUCACAAGACCACCAGCGCUCUCGGUGCUGCAUCUACCCCACCUCCGUGUACCCGGGAAGGGGGAAGCAUCAUCAUCCAAGCUGGCUGCUGGCCUAGCAAGUCAGUGGAGAAGGAAAGCUUCCUCUGGGGGGCGCUCGGCAACCCUGCAUGGGAUACAACUUAAUGGGCCCACUGGUUGGAAACAGCAGGAGUCCCCUGGGCAAAAGUCAAGUGGGCAAGGGGAAGGCAGGAAGUAUGCCCAGCGCUGUGCUAAUCUAUUUUAAUUUUUUUUAAUGUUUAUUUAUUUUUGAGAGAGAGAGCAACAGAGCAUGAGUGGGGAGGGGGAGAGAGGAAAGGACACAGAAUCUGAAGCGGGCUCCAGGCUCUGAGCUGUCAGCACUGAGCCCGAUGCGGGGCUCGGACCCACAAACCGUGAGAUCAUGACCUGAGCUGAAGUCGGAAGCUUAACCGACUGAGCCACCCAGGCGCCCCUGUGCUAAUCUCUUUAAACAGGUGACUUUAUUUAGCCCCCAUAGCCCCCCUCCUACUUGGUCCAUGCUACAGAUGGGAAAACAGAGGCAUGGAGAAGUCACUUACUAGAAAUCACGCAGCCCAGCUGGCAGGAGGUGGUGCCCAGGUUCCGGAAAAUAACAAGGUCAUGGGAAUUUGGGAGGCGUCUGUUGCUUCCUGGAGAAGGCUUUGAAACCCUGGGAAGGGGCAGUAGAAGAAGGGUCUGGAGAGAGGGUCCCCUAGCAAGGUGUCAGGUGGGAGCCUGGAGGGGAUGGGUCAGGGCAUCGGACCUCACGCAAUUCCCAGGGCAGGAGACAGAUGAAGCCCAGCUCUGGCAGUGACACCUGGCAUUCACCUCUUCAGCAUCUUCUGUCACUCAGUCCUAACUGUCCUUACCCCCACACCUCUGGACGAUCCCACUGCACCUAGGCCUAGGGGAUCUUGCAUGGCUCUGGAGGUCCAAGUAGUGACCAGCAGCCAAGUGGGCACAGGCCUGGGGUUGAGCCAAGCUUCCAGCCCACUGUUGGGAGGGGGGAGGCCCAGGACAAAGAUGUGACACUGGCUCCGAGACUAGCAGCGUUGUAAAUAAGAGAGGAAUCCAUCUCGCACCCACCCACCAGGCCAGACUGCUGCCUGCCAGCCUCCUUCCCCGCAGGGCCUUGCCCUCUCCCACAUGACAACUCACAGCUACACGUGGGCUGUAGCCCGUGGGAAGGGGAAAGAAAAAGGGAAGGGAUGCCUCUGCCCUUUAAGGCCACCACGCAGAAGGAGCCACUGUCACUGGGAGAAAACAAGGUUGGGGUGUGAGCUGUGUGGCCAGGUUUGUGUCUGUCUGCCAGUGGGGCUGGGAAGCCAGACACCUGCAGUCCUGUCCUGUCUCCAGCUGCAGAGAUCAGAGCGAGUCACUAUAUAUACUCUGUGGGACUGUUUUCCCCUCUGCACCAAACGUUUGGCCAAAAUAGCCUCUGAGGGGUCCUCAGUGGAAGACUCUGAACCAAUAGUCUCUCGAGGCCAUUGAGGCACAGUCUUGGGGAAGGAAAGGUGAAAUCAGUCUGUGGGUGGCUCCCUCGACUGUACUGGGAGGCCGGGGGCAAGCAAUGCACCCCAGGCCAUUGACACAGCCCCCGAGCGCCCAAGCUUUCUUGGAAAAGCUUCUAUGAACUGAUGCUAAUACGUCAGGUAACUUUUAUUAAGUGCUUGUUAUACACCAGGCUUGGAGCUAAGGGCUAGCAUUUAUGAGUGUUUUCUAUACGCUGGGCAUUAUUUUAAGUGCUUUACAACUUCCACUUCGCUUAAGCCACACAACUUCUCUGUGAUGCAGGCGCUGUUGUUAUCACCACGGGAAUAGCAAACCUGUAAAACAAGAACCAACCACUAUGAAAAAGGAGCAUUCAGAGAACAGGAAAGAACAUUCGAAAACGUAAGCGUUCACAGUAAUCAUGAAAACCCAACCAAGACUGAAUAGCAGAAUGGACACACCUGAGAACCAAAUCAGAGCAACAGAUGGAAAUUAUGAGAGAAAAAUGCCAGAGCCACGGUUCAAUGGAAGGAAUUGAAUUCACAUGCAGAAAUGAAGAUGGAUCAAAAUCACCUUCCCAGUGAAAUCCGGCCCCUCCUCGCUCAGGCAGAGAGAUGUUGAUGGAUAACAGGGAGUUGGUGAGUCAUUCCUGCCUAGUUAAAGCCCUCGAGGUUUAGUGUGUGCUUUUUAAGCCACCCUUGUACUUGAGGUCCCCAUCUCCUUUCCCCAGGUGCCUAUCCUGGUAGUCCAGGAAGUCACUAGCUAUCUUGGGCCCCAAGCAAACCACAGGGAACCAGUGGGGCUGGGAAGUGACCACUGAUCGGCACCCACAGGGCAGGCUUCACAGGUAAGCAGGGGGGUCUGUGUCAGAAUCUUGGACUUAACACGAAGAUACCGAGAGCGCUGGGCGGGCACCACGCCAGCCUGACAAUAGCCACCUGGCAGAUUCAGGGAGGAAUUCCUUGUCAUUUCAAAACACAACAAGGAAAACGGUGACCCAAGUGGGAAAAAGACGUAAACAGAAUGCGCAAAUGGCCAGUGCGUGCACAGGGAAAUUUCUAACGUCACCACUGAUCAAAAGAACACAAAUGAAAACGUGCCGUCUUCAUCCAACUGACAAGGACAUUUUAAGUUAUAACACUGUUGGGAAGAGGUACAUUUCCAGAAAGCAACCUUGCAAUAUAGACAUCACUUUUCAGUCUGUAAGUCUACUUUUAGGAACUGAUCACAAAGAAGUGAUCGGAUUUGUCGGCAGAUUUCUAUACAAGCUUGUUCUUCCCAAUGUUGCUUCCAGCUGAGAAAAAUUUGAAACCACUGAAUGAAUGUCCAGCCAAAGGAAAGUGAUAAUGAACAAUGCCCCACCCCGCAAUGGGGAAUGCCCCAUUCCAUGUAGUGGAAUAUCACUUAUCUAUUUAAAUUGGGUUUUCACAAGACUAUUUGAUACAAGUUACAGUGAAAAAAGGCAGGAUGAAAAAUUUAUGUAGGAGUUAUUCUAUAUGUGAUUAUGUAAAGAAUAUAUGUUAAUAGAAAACAUUAGAGGGGCUCCUGGGUGGCUCAGUCGGUUAAGCAUCCGACUUCAGCUCAGGUCAUGAUCUCAAGGUUCGUGAGUUCGAGCCCUGCAUUGGGCUCUGUGCUGACAGCUCAGAGCCUAGAGCCUGCUUCAGAUUCUGUGCGUGUGUGUGUGUGUGUGUGUGUGUGUGUGUGUGUGUCUCUGCCCCUCCCCUGCUCAUUCUCUCGCUCUCUCUCUUUCUCUCUCAAAAAUAAAUAACCAUUAAAAAUUUUUUUUUCUUUUUUUUUUCUUUUUUUUUUAACGUUUAUUUAUUUUUGAGACAGAGAGAAACAGAGCAUGAACAGGGGAGGGGCAGAGAGAGAGGGAGACACAGAAUCUGAAACAGGCUCCAGGCUCUGAGCGGUCAGCACAGAGCCCAACGCGGGGCUCGAACUCACAGACCGUGAGAUCAUGACCCGAACCGAAGUCGGACGCUUAACCGACCAAGCCACCCAGGCGCCCCUAAAAAAAAUUUUUAAAUGAAAGUAUUUACAUUGAAUAAUGGGAUUACAAGUGAUCUUUUUUUUAGCAUUCUAUUUUUCACUUUUCCAGAUUUUCUACAAUGAAUAUAUACUACUUCAAUAACCAGAAAAAAAAUAUCGUUUGAUUGUGCAACUUGGUAUGUAAUUUUUUAAAUAGGUUUUUUAUUAGUGUAGUAGUAAAUGCUCUCACUGCCCUCAAAUCAGAAAAUACAGACAGGUGUAAAAAAGAAGAAAACGCUCAUCUGUAAUCCCAUCAUUGUUAACGUUUUCUUGCUAUAUUACAAAAAUGGAAACACAUCAUACAUACUAUUUUAGAGACUUUGUAAAACUCGUGACUACAAACAUGUAACAUAAAAUUAACCAUCUUAACCAUUGAAAUGUGCAGUCAGUGGCAUUAAGUACAUUCACACUGUUGUGCAACCAUCCCCACUGUCUAUUUCCAAAAUUUUUCAUCUCCCCAAACUGAAACUCUGUCCCCAUUAAACACUAACUCCCCAUUCCCCUCCCCGUGCCCCUGCACCCACCCCUCUACUUUCUGUCUCUGUGAGUUUGACCACUCCAGGGGCCUCAUAAGAAUGGGAUCAUACAAUAUUUGUCCUUUGGUAACUGGCUUCUUUCAUGAACCAGAAUGUCCUUGAGGUUCACCCAUGUUGUAGCAUGUGACAGCGUUUCUUUCCUUUUAAAGGCUGAACCAUAUUCUAUCACAUUUUGCUUAUCCAUUCAUCCAUUGAUGGACACUUGGGUUGUUUCUAGAGCCUUUUCAAACAGAACAAUAUAUUGUGUACCUCUUCCUGUGCCAAUAAUGAUAAAUUAAUAGCAGUUACUUUUUUUAAAAAAAAUUUUAAUGUUUAUUUAUGUUUGAGAGAGACGCAGAGUGCAAGCAGGGGAGGGGCAGAGGGAGAGGGAGAAACAGAAUCCGAAGCAGGCUCCAGGCUCUGAGCUGUCAGCACAGAGCCCGACGUGGGGCUCAAACUCACAAACCAUGAGAUCAUGACCUGAGCCAAAAUCAGACGCCCAACCGACUGAGCCACCUAGGUGCCCCAAAAGCAGAUACUUUUAAACAUUUUACUUUUUUUUUUGAAAGAGAGAGAGCAAAUGGGGGGGGGGCAGGAGAGAGAGAGAGAGAGAGAGAGAGAGAGAAAGAGAAUGAGAGAGAAAGAAAAUCUCAAACAGAUUCCACACCCAGCAUGGAGACUGACAUGUGGCUCAAUCCCAUAACCAUGAGAUCAUGACCUGAGCUGAAAUCAAGAGUCAGACACUUAACCAACUGAGCCACGCAGGUGCCCCAAUAGCAAUUACUUUUAUUAAGUUGCCUAGUAUUCUAUAUUUGGUAAAUCUUUUUUUUUAAAUAAUGUAUCUUUAUUUUUUAUUGAGGCAUAGUUGACAUAUGAUGUUAUAUUAGUUUCAGCUGUAUAACAUAGGGAUCCUACCAAAUUUGGUUUUUCUUUUUAAAAAAAAGUUUUUUUUAAUGUUUAUUUAUUUUUGAGAGAAACAGAGAGAGACAGACUAUGAGUGGGGCAGGGGCAGAGAGAGAGGGAGACACAGAAUCCGAAGCAGGCUCCAGGCUCUGAACUGUCAGCACAGAGCCCGACGCAGGGCUUGAACCCAUGAACCAUGGGACCAUGAUCUGAGCAAAGUUGGAUGCUUAACCAACUGAGCCACCCAGGUGCCCCCUACCAAAUCCAUUCUUGAAGGACAUUUACAUUGUUUCCAAAUUUUCAUAUAUACAAAACUGCAAUAGUCUUUGUGUACUUAUCCUACUAUUUCUUAAAGAUAAAUUUGAAAAGUGAGAUUUCUGAGUCAAGGGGUAUUUUUAGAUUUGGUUUCUUUGACCAAUUUGUCCUCCAAAAAUUAUAUUAAUCUGGAUCCCUGCCAUCAAUGAAUCUCAAUCCCCAAGUUCCAAUAUCCUGGUCGGUACUGAAUAUUAGCACUUCAUAAAAAGUGACAACAUUUUGGGCAGUUUUUGCCAGGGUGUCAGGUUUUUUAAAAAGUGCCAUUGUUUUCAUGUGUAUCUCUUGGAUUAUUGGUGAAGUUGCAUUUUUUCCUGUGUUUAUAUUUUACUGGCAGUUUGUGUUUCUUCGUGGAGUCCUAUCUCUACUUUGUAUAGAGAUACUGAUAUUUCUCUUACCGGUGUGUAGGAACUACACAGGAAGGGUGCGUGAACUCUAUGCACCAGGGAUGUGACCAGCCACGUUUUGAAGCUGCAGGAUUUUUUUUUAGAUUGAUGGAGCCAAAUGCAGUUAAGGAAUCUGCCUUUGGGGUCAUAUCUAGCAAAUUCCUCUCUUUCAGGGUUACCUGUGGAUUAGUCACAUUUUCGCCCUGUUGCAUUGCUUCCAGUGCUGUCACGGUUCGGUGUUCUCACUUGCUUCUUUAGUCCAGCUGGGAUUAUUUGGGUGGGUGUGUGCUAAGAUUAGGAUGUCCCCUGUGUCUAAAAGUCAAGGCCAGCCAUCCCUGGAUGACCAGUCUUCCCUGCACGCUCUCCCGGCUUCAGCACUUCCUCCUGUCAUGAGUUGGCCUUUUGCAUAAUCCCCACCUUCAAGAAAAACUCUUUUCCACUGUGAGCUGAGCAGGAGCCCUAUUGAGCCCUAUCGCACGGCCUUUCCCAAAGGCAUUUGCCCUACAGAAGAGGAUUCGGGAGAAGCUACCAGGUUGGGGGUGGGGGAAGGGUCCAGACAGUGGCAUUUCAGGAACCACCACUGACAUGUAAUGGAUGAGCCAUCGUGGGAUCCAGGAGCUACUUCUUCAACUGGCCAAACCGGCGGGCACCCUCUCUGCCCCCAGUUUGGGAUGAUUUACUGUCAAUGUCACACUGCACAUCAGUCUUUCAGCAGAGCACACUAUCUCCCUCCGUCCUCACAGUACGUAUCACUUUCCAUCCUGACUUCUCAGCUGAAGGGGGAGCCACACAAAGGAACGUGUCUGGUGACACCACCUACACAUAGCAGAGGCAGGAUGGGGGCUUUCCUGGUGCCUAUCCUCGAGGUUUCUGCCACAGGAAGGGACCCAUCCCAGGAGCAGGGACCCAUAGGGAGCUCCAGCUGUCAGGUCAGGGCUGUGUGGGACCUUGCAAGCCGUAGGUGCUGACACAAGCGGGGCCCAGGGCGGGCAAGGGGCCGAAGCCUGAGGCUCGAGGACCCUCAGCCAUCUCACCCACACCCACUCCUCUGAGUCCCAGCCCCCACCCAGGGUCGCCAGACACGCAAGGCAUCCUGAGAUGUGCUUCCCUGAAACCUCCCUGUUCUCUGUUACAGGAGCACUUCAUCCACUCAUUUACCUGGCGCGCAUUUAUGGAGAACUUACCGUAUGCCCGGUACUGGCCCGGGGAUACGGCAGUGCUUACCGUGUACCCAGUACUGGUCUGGGGAUACAGCCAUUAACUAGAGGCAAAAGCCCAUCUUCUGGAGCUUUUAUUCCAGUGGGAAUAAGCAAGGAGAGGAGUAAAGGGACAUGGCGUAACUCCUCAUGCGAAUAAGUGCUAGGAACAGUUACUAAUACUCACCCAACAGCUUUUAUGUCCUCAUGGAGGUUCUAAGGAACCAAUGUCCUGUGACCAGGACAGACAGAGGGAAGCUGCUUCAGGGUGGCCAACCAGGGAGGGCCUCUCUGAGGAGGUGACACUGGGGUGAGGAGGAGUUCUUAGGAGGAGCCAACGGAAGGCAAUCCAGGCCAAGGGAACAGCACAUGCAAAGGCCUCAGGAGGGAAAGAGCAUGUGGGUUUGAGGCGCUGACAGGAAGCCGAGGCUGUGAGCCAGGCAGUUGUGGGGGUGAGGCAGGAGCAAUGGAGAGGAGGCCAGAGAAGGCCAAGGAUUCCAACAUUCAGCACACUGCAACCCACGGUGAGACUUCACCUUCCGGCUUCACCAGCUUGUGUGUUAGCAAAAGUCUCACCCCAUCACCUAACCCGCACUCCCGGCACUGAGUGCUGGGGUUUUCUAUUCUGUCUAUUCUGCUCUGCUCGCCUCAAAAGGAGGGAGGAAAAAGAAAGGAAAGGAAUGCAACCCCUGCAAUUAACCUCCUGACCCCCUGAGGGGCUGCAACUUGCAGUUUAACGCCAGGCUGUUGUAGAUGGAAAUAAAGAUUUUUGUUUGUUUGCUCGGCACAGUGGGAGUCCACGGCGUGUUUAGGGGAGGGAGAGACUGGACCAGACUGAGGUUUUAAAAAGACUAUCCUGCUGUUGUAUGCAAAAGGGAGUGUCUGGGGUGUGUCAGUCAGCCAGAGUCCCCGAAGGACAGACAACGCCCUCAAAAGGGUGAUACUGAGUUAAAGACAGGGCUCUCCGUGCAGGUGGGGCAGGUGAGGGGCAGUCCCACAACCAGUCACCCCCACCGAGGCCGGAAGGAGCUGGAGGAACCACGUGGGAAGGUAGGGGCCAGCAGGGGGCCAGAACCUUGGUUCAGGGGAAGCGCCUCACCCCUCUCCGCUCCCACCUCCCAUUGUCUGCAGCGCCUCUCAUUGGCCCAACCACACAGACAUCCCCUCUGAGGUGCAAGGUCAGCCUCCAGGACACAGCAGAGGUCCCUGACGGGGGUGGGGAGCGGAGUGUGGCCAAUGGAAGAGCCAGGUGAGAGCUGGCGCUGGCUGGGGCGGGCUAGCAGCAGAGGAAAUGGCCUUGGGAACAUGAAGUGUGGAACCCCAGGACCAGCCUUUGGGUUGGAUUAGACUCCUGCUGAAAGGGCUUUUUUCCACUUUGGGGGCUCUUCAGAAAACACAAGAUGCAAGACGUGGUGGGGGCCCAGGGUGGGUGAGGGGAGAGCACAGGUGUCAAGGCACACAGGCAUCGUGGGCAGCCGGGACACUCAGAGUAUCUCCCCACCAGGAAGGUGCAGGCGUCCCCUGGUCAGAGCGCCAGGGCAGGGCAGGCUGUGUGAAGUGCCCCCUUCCGUCACCGUCACCGGGCCACGGGCAGCCCAGGGGUUGCAGAGUGGAGCGCAGGGCAGAGAAGUGGCUGGGAGCAGGGCACCCUUGGAGGUCGGGACAGGGCUCUUCCCUGCUGGUCCAUCCACACCAGGGCGCUCUGGGUGUGUCACCAUCCAGGUGUGGCAUUUGAGCUAAAGGGGAUUAUGCUGGAAUGUUCCUAAGGCACAGCAAGAAACGACAGACAGAGGCCAGACAGAGGCCGAGCUCAGCCUGGGGUGGCAUCUGGGGUGGGGGGACCAGCCCAACCCAGCAGGAUGGAGGAAGGUGUGUGACACUCAUCAUGUCCCCGACCCCAACGUGCUGGGGGGAGGGGCACGGGAAGCGGCAGAGCCAGGCCUGGAUGGCACCUUCUCUCCAUGCUCACUUGCCAGACGUGUUUACCUCUACGACCAGCUGCAAGUUAGAGCCCAGUAAGUGGGUCAUGGCGAUCCCUUUAGUGAAGUGCAAUCAGCCUUGUUCGGAACAAAACCGAAGGGUACAAUCGAAAGGGAAAGGAAGGAAAACAUCGGAGUUCAUUGCAGGCACCAAGACAGUCACUGUCCCCUGAAGAGUCCCUUUCAGGCUUGCUCCAGAGGACGGGUACUUUUUAAAGUGGGGGGGGGGUCACUGCAUUUGCAGACAAGGGUCCUUGCUUCCCUUCUCUGCACUCUCGCUCCAGAUGGCCAGAUCCUGCUGCUGUCCCGUCCCCGCUCCCUGGGACCUGCCCAAGCUCUCUCCUCUCUGGCUUUUCCCUCCCUUGGCUCACCACAUCAUCCUCAUGACUGUUUUUGUCCCCAUCUUACUGGGGAGGAGGGAAUCCAGGGAGGAGGAUGUCCCAUCCGGGACCCUAUAGCUUCCUGCCCUGCCUGUGCACACCGGUACUGACCCCAGGUGAGGCUGGGGGGAGAUGGGGGAGGCCACAUGGGGUGGGUAUACUGGGGGCCGUGAGAGGACUCCCGCUACCGACUCCUGUGGGCUCUGGGGCCAUGAGAAUCAGGGCAGAAGGGCUAGGGAGGGAUGGCAUCAAGGAGACAGGUGUGUGUGGUCUAGCUACCAGGUACAGGCUCCGUUCUGGGUGCUGAGGAGAAGGCAGCAGACAAGGUCAGCGCAGCCCCUGCUCCCUGGCGCUUACAGGAACACCUGUCGGGAAGAGAGCUUACCUGUAACGUGGUUGAAGAAAACCAGCCACAGACUGAGACAGGGAAAAAAGAGGAGCAGAAGGCAUAGUUAUACUGCAAUGUCAAGACAGGCUUCUCUUACAUGGAAGGGCCCAGCCAGGCUGAGAAUCACACGAGAGCAUCUCUAGCCAAGAGCUCGGCACAUGCAAAGGCACUGAGGUGAGACAGACCGAGACAACACCAGUGUGUCUGUAGCAUGGUCAGCGCAGGCAGUGGAGCAGAGGUCAGCAGGCCAGAGGGAAGGGCUUGUUUCCAGCCAAGGCCAGUGAGGAGUUGCACAGAGCUCUUCACUAUCCUGCCGUUCAGCCCCGGAUCUGCGGUCCUGGGCUCGCAUGGUCCAGGGCCGCCACAUUCUCUCAGUCGGCUUCCUGGUGACUUAUGAAUGGGUUCUCCCUGGUUCAAAACAGAACGCACCAGGGGCACCUGGGUGGCUCGGUCGGUUAAGUGUCCGACUCUUGGUUUUGGCUCAGGUCAUGAUCUCGUGGUUGUGAGAUCGAGGCCCACAUUGGACCUGACAGCACGGAGCCUGCUUGGACUCCUCUCUCCCUCUCUCUCUGCCCCUCCCUCUCCCACACACGCACUCUCUCUCCCAAAAACUAAAAUUAAAAAAAAAAAAAAACAUUUAAAACCAAAACAGAAUGCCCGAGGCGCCCUCCCUGUGCUGAGCCCCGAGCAGGGCACGAAGGGAAUGGAAGUCCGUGCCUGGUGAGUGAGUGUGUGCCCAGCAUGCCCAUUGCUGGGACUGUGGCCGCCUAUGUUUGUUUUCAGGGUAGCAGAGUUUUCUGUGUAAUUCAUGCACACUGCAAGUUAGUCAAAAAGUGGAAAUGGGAGCCAGUGUGCCUCCUACUGUCACCCCCUCCCGCAGUGCCCCUGCCCAGAGGCCACCCUGAGGCCAUCUCCAUGGGUUUGCCAAGCAGAAAAGCGUGUCCAUCUUUAAUACACAAAGUGGAUUCUAAUACACACACACACACACACACACACACACACUUCUUAACAAUCUCCUGGGGUUGUUCUGUGUGGAUACAGCGGAUAUUCCCUGAUACUUCAGUUCCACUGUGCAUGUGACUCACCAUUCACUGCCAGCACCCCCUGUAGCAUAAUGGGCUGGGCAGGGGAAGGGGAAGAGGGGGGGUGGAGCUAGGUCAAGGAUAUUUGCAUUUUUAAAGUUGGGUUAACAUCUGCAAGGUGUGUCACUGGCUCUUGAUAAGAGAAUCAAAGGGAAUUGGGUUAACCCACUCCUAACCCCUUUGCCCAGUUACUGCCAGCCCCACCAGCAGCCCUGCCUGGCUCCCGGCUCCGGCUACCGGCUACCGGCUACCGUUCCUCUUGUAGGCGGGGAGAGGGAUCACUAUCUCGCCCCUGCAGGGCUGGGCCCUCCACACUGACCCAGCCUCAGGCCAUCCUUCAUCCUCAGGAGCAAGACCUCUUUAGCUGCCUGAAAAUAGCUCUUUAUCUGGUUCGGUCCUCACCGGGACUUUAUUCCAUGCCUCUGGCCACUUGUUGCAAGAGCAAAUGUGUCCCAUACAGCACUGGGCGUGUUGCCACCGUAGGAGAAACCAGGAGAAUUCGGGGGCGAAAAUAGCUAGGGGCCCGAGAAGUGAGCCUCCGACUGUGGGCCGGGCGCUGGGGCGUGUGGCAGUCAGGUGGGGUUCUGGGGUGCAGGCCUCCGCCUUCCGUGCAAGGCCCUGAAGAAUGUGCCCGCCUCAGACACAACAUCCCAGUUCAGUCGCAUUAUGAGUCACCGCUGCGUGUCUGCUACCACCUGGGCAUUUGAACCACGGCAGCAAACACACAGGCAAAGACUUCUGCCCUCGAGGAGCUUGCGUUCUAUCGGGGAAGACAGAAAACAGACAGCAGAAAGGCCCACACAGGCAAUGAUAGGAGAGGUCAGAAGGGGGAUACGCGGUGGAGAAGAACUGAAAUAGAGUGCUGUGCUCAGGAGCGCCAGGGCAGAGACACAGGAGGCAGUCUGGAACAGGCCACUGGGAGUGGGGCUUGUUGAAGUGACAGCAGUCUUUCUAGGGGAAGGGAAGAGGAGAGGGUGCAAAGGCCCUGAGGCAGCCGGCCUGCGGUAGCUGAGAAAACAAGGAAGUUAGUGUGGCAACAGCAACACAGGGAGAGUCAAAGGAGAGGGGUGAGGUUGUAUAAGGUGGAAGCCAGGAGAGCACUUGGAGACUCUGUAAGAUGGAUGAGGGUGUCUGAGGCAGGGGAGCGGCCGCAGCAUGAAUCCAGCAGGACACACAGCGGGACCAAGAGCUUAGCCCAGGCCAGGCUCUAUUCCAAGAGCUUUGCCAGUAUUAAUUCACUUAAUGCUCACAUAGCCUUAUACACCAGGUGCACUCAUGGUCCGGUCCUAUAGGUAAGGAUGCUGAGGCACAGAGAUGUGAAGGAACUCACCCCCGGUCACACAGCUGAAAGAUGGCAGAGUCUGGAUUUGAAGGCAAGCCAUCUGAAGCCAGAGCCCAGGCUCUUGAAGAACCAUAAGUUUGGGACAAAAAAAAGUCACAACCUUCAUCCUGAGGGAGGACAUCUGUAAAGAAAAUAGAAGACUGAGUCCUCAUCAGAGAUGCGAGGCAACAGAGGCCCAGAAGGUCAAGCUCGGGUCUGACCGCCAGGCAGUCCCACUUCCCCACCCCUGACCCCGCACUGGAGGUGGGAGCCGGGAUGAUCGCUACCCGGGAGGGUGGCGGCCCCGGGCACAGAGCAUUGCUCAGGAGCGUAAGCGUUGACACCCCCUUGGGAUGGUGCGGGUUGCCCAACAGAGCAGGCAGGCAGGGUUGGACGUGGGACCAGAGGUAGGGGGAGCCUGCGUCCCAGGGCCUUGGAGGAAGCGUUGAUGGACAGGAGUUAAGAGUAGCGGUCACAUGAAGGAUGCUUGGUGACAGAGGGGGGCCCACAUGUAGGGGAUACUGACCACUGGGGAAGGCAUAACCAUGCAGAGGAAGAGGCCGCCAGAGGCUCAGAGGCCUGCCAGCUGUGUGGCCUCCAGAUGUUUGGGUCUCAGUUUCCCCAUCUGUUAAAUAGAGAAGAAAAAUGCCAGGGGCAGCUGGCUGGGACAGACAAUAACUCCAACUCUGAGAAAGGAUCAGGAACGCUACUUAGCUGGUUGUAGAAUCCUUUUGUCUUACUCUUGCUCCCGGAGGGCUUCUGUCACUCGGGGCUGUUUCUCAGGGGUGCAGUUUGAAGCUCAUGUCUUUAUUUUAUUUUAUUUUUAAUUUUUUCUAACGUUUAUUUAUUUUUGAGAGACAGAGAAAGAGCAUGAGUGGGGGAGGAGCAGACAGAGAGGGAGGCACAGAAUCCGAAGCAGUCUCCAGGCUCUGAGCUGUCAGCACAGAGCCCGUGGGGCUCAAACCCACGGACUGUGAGAUCAUGACCUGAGCUGAAGUUGGACGCUUGACCAACUGAGCCACCCAGGCGCCCCGAAGCUCAUGUCUUUAAAAAUAAUUUCUGUCUUCUGCCAGCAAGCUUCUGGGGGCUCAGCAUUUUUCUGCGAAAUAUGUAAACAUGUCCCAGCUGUAUGUUACCACUGAGUUUUCAAGUUUGUUUGGUUUGGUUUAUUAGUGGGCGUAUUUUCAUCCAUGCUGGCUUACAUCCUUCCUUGCUUUUUCCUCCCCCGAAGGCCCUUGUCUUCUAUGCUGCAAUUAUCUGUCUUGCCCUGAAGAGGAACUCCUGUGUCAGUCCACAGGCCUCCGAGCUUCUGACUCCCGCGUUCUGGAUGCCUGUCAACCACAUCUCCCGUUUUCGUACAUCAGCCAUUAUUCCAGUAUUACCGCCUGGACUUUGUUGAUUUUUCUUUUUAUCUUCCUUGUCCACGUGCAACAGAUUUGAGGCCUUCUUCAUCUCAUCAAAUAACGAAAUCAGCCAUUUUCUGAUAUUUACUUCUCUUUCAAGUAAGAUAUUUAUCCCAAGGGGAGAACCAUUUUUUUUCCCCCUGCUCUCAUUGAAAUUCAUCAAAACUUUGGAACAAUGCUAUGCCCUGGGAUCAGCCUUUCCAGGUGACUUCAUCUGUAUUCGUGCCUUGUCUGCCGUCUUUUUGCCAGUGACUUGUAAAUUUCCGUCUCCUGCCAGGACCUCUCCCCUGAAUUCCCAUCUUUUGCACCCAGCCACCGGUUUGUAGCUCCACAUGAAUGUCUCUGAAACACCACCAACCCUCGGUGAUUGCUCUCCCUUGACCCCAGCAGGCUCACCCCUACUCUCUGUGGAACCCGGGGUGAGAGGGAAACAGAGGCGCCGUCUACCUGCUUCUCCUCCCGUCCCGGCCCCGUCCAGAGCUUCAGGGCUAGCACACACGUGCAUGAACACUAGGGCCCAUGCUCUGUCCACACCCACAUCCACAUCCACAUCCACAAACAGCACCCUUGCUUCUCCUGGGCCUCAGGGCGCACACUCCUGUAAUGCACCCUCCCUCCUGGAGGGGCAGGUCUGGGGGCAGGCUCCAAGUCAUCUGGGCGGGGAACUCUGAGGUCCAGAUCCUGAAAAGUCACCCCAACACACUCUUCCUGGCCCCACAGCCAACCAUCUACCCGGACCUCUAGAUUUUCUUUCAGCCUCUCCCUCCCUAGUCCAUGGGGUUUGUCCACACCACCUCCCUCUCAUCCAGAGGCCAGAGCCACGGCUCUUCCCACAUGUGCUCUUGUCUGCUCCAAUCCAUCCCAAGUUUUGAAAGAUGUUAAUGAGCUGAAGUCCCCAGGUGAGUGGUGUCCCCUUGCACAACACAGACUCCACCCCCUGCGGCCACCCCACACCCCCCCCCUUACUCUCGAGGUCAGCCCAUUGACCAUGGCAAG
rnacentral:lncRNA from 1 species